rnacentral:tRNA from 1 species
GGAGCAGUAGCUCAGUGGUUGAGUUCCCGCUUGGUAUGCGGGAAGAUAUGGGUUUUGGUUCGAUUCCCGGCUGCUUGC